AGUGAACGCUGGCGGUAGGCCUAACACAUGCAAGUCGAACGGCAGCACAGUAAGAGCUUGCUCUUACGGGUGGCGAGUGGCGGACGGGUGAGGAAUACAUCGGAAUCUACUUUUUCGUGGGGGAUCACGUAGGGAAACUUACGCUAAUACCGCAUACGACCUACGGGUGAAAGCAGGGGAUCUUCGGACCUUGCGCGAAUGAAUUCGCCGAUGUCGGAUUAGCUAGUUGGCGGGGUAAAGGCCCACCAAGUCGACGAUCCGUAGCUGGUCUGAGAGGAUGAUCAGCCACACUGGAACUGAGACACGGUCCAGACUCCUACGGGAGGCAGCAGUGGGGAAUAUUGGACAAUGGGCGCAAGCCUGAUCCAGCCAUACCGCGUGGGUGAAGAAGGCCUUCGGGUUGUAAAGCCCUUUUGUUGGGAAAGAAAAGCAGCAGGUUAAUACCCCGCUGUUCUGACGGUACCCGAAGAAUAAGCACCGGCUAACUUCGUG
rnacentral:rRNA from 1 species